rnacentral:lncRNA from 1 species
GGUUUUGUUUCUAAGGGAGAGCCGAAGCCCGUCUUACCCCUUAAAACGCGUCUACUGUGGUCUCUUGGGGCUUGCCAUUAUAAGGCGUCCCCCCUCCUUACCUCUUUCCGAUGUGGGAUACUUUCAAUCCACCUCAUAGGGCUUCUACCCCCCAUAAGGCCUGAGCGUCCUCGCUCAGCACACCGUACUCAUGAGGCCCAGGCUUUGAUACCAAUUGUAACAUCCUCUGGGCCCACAACAGUAGAUAUUGUCCGCUUUGGGAGAGCCCAUGGCCCAUCUUACCCCUCACGGUUUUGUUUCUAAGGGAGAGCCGAAGCCCGUCUUACCCCUUAAAACGCGUCUACUGUGGUCUCUUGGGGCUUGCCCUUAUAAGGCGUCCCCCCUCCUUAC